UGGGCUUAGUCCCAGGCAGAGGCAGGUUCAAGGCCAGCCUGGUAUACAAGUGAGUUCCGGGACAGCCAGGGCUACACAGAGAAACCCUGCCUCCAAAAGCAGGCUCAAUCUCCAAUUUACAUGACUCAAGGAGGGGAAGAGAAUGAAUAUGAAUUUGUGCAUGUGUGUUCUUCAGUUGUGUAGAUUUGUGUGAUUGUUAUUUUUUUCAACUUUUAACUUUUUUAGGUGGUAUACUGAGGAUCAAAUUCAGGACCUUUGAAAUACCAGGCAAAAGCACACUCAGCUCUAUCUGUCUGGCCCCAAGCUUCAGGUUUUGUAAGAAUGUGAUUCUAAGUAGAUGGUGUUGGAGCUCCCCUUCUUUUUCUUAUCAAGGUCAAUUGCUUCCAUUCCUGCAUGGACAGUAAAGGUUUUGCAGGAUUAUCUUUUUAAAGUGUGAAAUGAAACUUUUGUAUAUUAACUUUGAAAAAAAAUUGGAAUGAGACUAGAUAACAUCUAAUAAAUACCAAGAAAUACUUUCGUCUUACGCUCUUAAUACUUUUUUGUUUAGGGCAGACUAAUGCUACACGAACAGGCCUUCAGCAUUUGAAGAGAACUGUUACAGAUCUUCUGAGUUGUACGUGUUUUCUCCACUAUUCUCUGAAAAAACUGACAAUUUUUGCUGCUUUUAUGAAUUUUACAGCUACUAAUUCUCAGUGGAGAGUGAUAGGAAGUAGUUGUUUAUUGCGUACAGUCAAAAGUAGUAUUUCUCUAGGUGAUGUGUGGGGAGUGAGGCAAUAAUUUGAAAUAUCACUAAUGAAUGCAGGAAGUUGAGAGAAAAGAAAAAUCUUUACCUUUCCUUGUCUGGAUUUGUAGUUUUUAAAGUAUUACUGGA